GAAGUAAAAGUCGUAACAAGGUUUCCGUAGGUGAACCUGCGGAAGGAUCAUUAAUGAAACUUCAAAGUCGGCCAAAGGUUGUUGCUGGUGAUUAUUCACAUGUGCACRCCUUUGGUCGCAAAUCCACACACACCUGUGCAUCUAUGACUCGAGGUUGUAAUGACUGAGAGUAACUUUUAUACACUCUUGUAUGUAAUGGAAUGUCUUUUUGUGCUAUAAUGUACAAUAUAAACAACUUUCAACAACGGAUCUCUUGGCUCUCGCAUCGAUGAAGAACGCAGCGAAAUGCGAUAAGUAAUGUGAAUUGCAGAAUUCAGUGAAUCAUCGAAUCUUUGAACGCACCUUGCACCCUUUGGUAUUCCGAAGGGUACGCCCGUUUGAGUGUCAUUGUAAUCUCACUUCUACAACUUUAUUGUUGUUUGAAUGUGGACUUGGAUGUUGCCGUUUUAUCACGGCUCGUCUUAAAUGCCUGAGUGUACCCUGUUUUGCAGCGUAUCCAGUGUAAUAAACAUUUCACUAGAGUUGGUUGAAAGACCACGUUGACUAUAUGGGCUCUAUGCUUCAAACYGUCUGCCAUGUGGACAAUUUCUUGACAAUUUGACCUCAAAUCGGGUGGGACUACCCGCUGAACUUAAGCAUAUCAAUAAGCGGAGGAAAAGAAACUAACAAGGAUUCCCCUAGUAACGGCGAGUGAAGAGGGAAAAGCUCAAAUUUUAAAUCUGGUGUCUUUGACUCCCGAGUUGUAAUCUAGAGAAGUGUUUUCCGUGUCGGACCGUGUACAAGUUCCCUGGAACGGGGCGUCAUAGAGGGUGAGAAUCCCGUAUAUGCCAUGGACUACCGAUGCUCUGUGAUACACUCUCAACGAGUCGAGUUGUUUGGGAAUGCAGCUCAAAAUGGGUGGUAAAUUCCAUCUAAAGCUAAAUAUUGGCGAGAGACCGAUAGCGAACAAGUACCGUGAGGGAAAGAUGAAAAGCACUUUGGAAAGAGAGUGAAACAGUACGUGAAAUUGUUGAAAGGGAAGCGUUUGAAGUCAGUCGCAUCUGUUGGGGUUCAGCCUGGCUUUUGCCUGGUGUAUUUCCUUUCCGAUGGGUCAGCAUCAGUUUCGACCGAGGGAAAAAGACAUUUGGAAUGUGGCUGUCUUCGGGCAGUGUUAUAGCCUUGUGUUGUAUGUCUCGGUUGGGACUGAGGAUUGCAGCGCGCCAUAAAUGGCCGGGGGUCGCUCCUCUCGACACGCGCUUAGGAUGCUGGCAUAAUGGCUUUAAGCGACCCGUCUUG
rnacentral:rRNA from 1 species